CCAUUUUUAGGCCUAAUUUUUAGACCUAACCCAUAAUUACGAAGCCCAUAAGACCAAACCCAUAUUCCCUUAACCUAGAAAAACCUUUCUUAAAAAACCUAGGGACCUAUUACGCAAAAGACCUAGGGACUAAUUGACCAAAUACACAAAAAGUACAUUAGACCUAGACCUAUAGAUAGGAAUAACGCCAAAAAUCCAAAGAGGGGACUACACACUGAUCAACCGCAACAGUGCAAAAGAGGAGACCCCUCUCUAAAUUUCAUCUCCUUGGUGACCCCCCCAGAAAUCUACCCGCAAGAGAACGCCCAAAGCUCUCUAUCUCUGUCCAUCGCCGGAAUUCACCACCGAUCGACCACCCCAUAAACACGACCACUCCCUGACUUCAUCUUCUUCAGUCGUGUUCAUCGGAGAAACCCCAACCAUGGACAUCACCUAAACUCCAAUCCCGAGUCAAACCCGGCUGAAUACAAUACUUCUGGUCGCUUGUGCAUUUUCCAGCAAUUUUUUAGUCCAAGACAAUACUUGAACACAAAAGUUCCAUCGGAGUUCCUGUUUUUUCGGUGAGGUCGUCGAUUUGUUGAGGUUGCCCGUUCGAGGUCGUAUUCGGUGAGUCAAGCUUAACUAAGGUCUGUUUUCUUUUAGUUGUCAAAUUUGGAUCUUCAUUUUUGUACCUCAUCUUGUACUGAUUCGUGUCACGCUUGAAUAAAUGUGGAUGUAUUCAUAUGGUCUUGUAUAUUCAUUUGGCUCUUUGGUUUUGGAAACUUUGGAUUCAAAUUUUGCAUAUUCUGCUUAUUUGCUUGUUAAUUGAUUCUUAAUGUAGAAACAGAAAUUUGGAAAGUGGCUUUUCUAUUUUAAAUUUCAAUUGAAGGCAUCGUUGUUGGAUGAAUUUGGAAAUAUGUUUCGUUCAGCUGGUUCUCUUCCGCAUGGAGGUUGUACUGUGAAUUUCCAUUUUGCUAUAUGUUUUAUGGUUGAGGCGAAAUAUAAGAGAUAUUGACGACUCUUAUUAUAUUUUGAUCUACCAUUUUUAUUUUGAUUAUUUAGCUUUAUUUUGACUAUUUGUUGGCCCCGUGUGUUUUAGAUACCAUAGUAGUCCAGUACAAUUUGUUUGCAUUGGCCCGUAGGGUAUGGGAAGGAUCGAAUACACUAGUAUUAAAUUAGACUGCAUACUUUAGAUAUCGGGCUCGACCUAAUAAGAAUAAAAAAUAAACAUGGGCAUGACAUUUAGAAAUCGAGGCGUGCCAUUUAGUUGAAUUUUUCAUGGCCGUCACAAAGUUGAAAGUGUGUAGUUACUUUAGGCGCGCUAUUUAAAAAUUACUUUCCUAAACUCGGGUGUGCAUUUCAUGUGACCCAAAUUCAAAUCUCAACAACGUUAAAUAAAAUGUGUCUUGGACCGCGGGUGCAUUUUAUGUGGCGUGGUCCCAAGACGUGUUUUAGAUGACGUUGAAAUCUUCCCUAAAAAUAAUUAAAAGCGGUUAAUAAAUUAAAAUCCGCCAUAGGUUAAAACGUGUUUAAAAUCAGAUAAAUAGGCCAGUUAUAAUAGUUGAGCGGUCGUUCUAGAACCACAGAACCCAGAAAUGCCUAACACCUUCUCCCGAGUUAACAAAAUUCCUUACCUGGAUUUCUGUGUUCGUAGACUAUAUAACAGAGUCAAUCUUUCCUCGAUUCAGGAUUUAAAAUCGGUGACUUGGGACACCAUACAUUAUCCCAAGUGGCGACUCUGAAUAAACAAAAUAACCCUGUUUCGAUUGCCACUUAAAUUGGAAAAACUCCCUUAUACCCUUCCAAGUGUAGGAAAAAGGAGGCGUGACAAGUUAAUUCAAUCGAGGUCGAAUGUAGACUUAGAAAAUAAUUCGAGUGAGAUCAAAUGUACAUUUCCUUUGUUAAUUCGAACGAGGUCGAAUGUAAGUUAAUUCGAGCGAGGUCGAAUGUAGAUCAAUUUGAACGAGGUCGAAUGUAAGUUAAUUCGAGCAAGGUCAAAUGUAGAUUGAUUCGAACAUGGUCGAAUGUAAGUUAAUUCGAGCGAGGUCGAAUGUAGACUUAGAAAAUAAUUUAAGUGAGAUCGAAUGUACAUUUCCUUUGUUAAUUCGAAUGAGGUUGAAUGUAAGUUAAUUCGAGUGAGGUCGAAUGUAACAUUAGAAAAUCAUUCGAGCGAGAUCGAAUGUACAUUUCCUUUGUUGAUUCGAACGAGGUCGUAUGUAAGUUAAUUCGAGCGAGGUCGAAUUUAAGUUUAGAAAAUCAUUCGAACGAGAUCGAAUUUACAUUUCCUUUGCGUUGGCGUGAUGCGUAAAUUUGGUGGAGUUGUGUAAGAAUGUCAUAUAUUGAUUUGUUUAUUCAUUGGAGAAUAUUACUCUGUUUGGUCCGUACAUAUAUCCGAGGAUUCCUAGUCUAUCUAGUCCCUUCAUCGCUCGGCCUAGAGAAUUAGUCGAUAGGCGGGGCGAUGAACUUAAUACCUAAAAUUUGAGAUGUCCUAUUCGUCGCCUCAUUAAAAGCCUCUCAGAGAAAACCCAAUUAGGACAAAACUCGUGUGAGGGAAAAAGAGUACGACUUGGAGGACGUCUAUCUUUAGAAGUUGAAGUAUUUGAGGUGGGCGACGUUCCAAUUUUUUGGUAGUAGUUUUCCCUUCAUUGUUUCUAGUUGGAAUGACCCUUUAUUUUUUGUUGCCGUGAUUUUGUAUGGUCCAUCUCAAUUGGUUCCCAGUUUUCCCUCACGUGGGUCUUUGCUCGCUUGUGUUUUGGCUUUGAGUACAUAGUCCCCUACCUUGUGUGGUCUGACUUUGGCUUUUUUGUUGUAGUAUAGUUCUGCUUGCUAUUUUGAGCUAUCAUUCUUAUGUAGGCCAUGUUUCUUUCCUCAUCUGUUUCGUCGAAGUCUUACUUUAUGCUUUCAUCAUUACUUGGUCUGCUCUCGUUGGAGUAUCUCAAACUUGGUUCCCCGACUUCGACUGGUAUCACUAUAUUAGUCCCAUAGACUAGUGAAUAUGGCGUUUCUCAUGCGCUUGUUUUUGGCAUGGUGCGGUAUGCCUAUAGAACUUUCGGUAACAGUUCUAGCCACAAUCCCUUGGCGUCCUCAAGCUUCUUCUUCAUGAUGUUCAAUAUUGUUUUGUUGGAGGACUCUGCCUGACCGUUGCGUGCAGGAUGAUAUGGCGUGGAGAGUAUUUGCUUGAUGUGCCAUUUCUUGAAGAAUUUGGCGGUCUUUUUGCGAUGAAUUGGGGUCCAUUAUCACAACUAAUUUCUUUGGGGAUGUCGAAGCGGCAUAUGAUGUUCCUCCAUAUGAAUAUGAUAACUUCCUAUUUGCGUAUUUGGGCAAUUGCACCUGCUUCUACCCGCUUGGAAAAAUAGUCAGUUAAAACCAAAAGAAAUCAUACAUUACCUCGUCCUGCUGGAAGGGGUCCGACGAUAUCCAUACCCUAUUUGAUGAACGGACAAGGCGAUGUAACUGAGUAGAGAUGCUCGCCCGCCUCUUGGAUCAUUCGAGCGUAUUUUUGGCAUUGUUUGCACUUUCUAACGAAGUCGGCAGCUUCUUUUUUCAUGGUGAACCAGUAAUAGCCUGCCCAUAUAAGGCAUCUAACGAGGGAUCGAUUACCGGUAUGGGCUCUACAGUGGCCUUCGUGUACUUCUUCGAGGACACACCUAGUUUGGUUUGGUCCUAAGCAUUUCGCCAAGGGACCGCUAAAACAUUCUUUUGUACAAGUCAUGGUUGAUGAUGUUGUAUCUGGACACCUGCCUUCGAAUCUUCUUGGCUUCUUUUUUGUAGGAUGGGAGCACUCUGUCCUGCAAAUAUGACAUAAUAUGGUUGCACCAGUCCUAUAGUGCGUACCUCAAUUUGGUCUAUUAACGAACGGAGGAAGGUGACGACAUUUUCCUUUCCGCUUAUGUUCUUAUGGCUGCUGCUAAUUUGGCGAGGCUGUCUGCUUUGUUGUUUUGUGUUCGAGGUAUCUGAUCGAGUUGGCACUCAUCGAACUCGAGCAAUAGCUUAUGAAUUUCUGCCUGAUAUUUUUGUAGCCUUUGUUCUUUGAUUUGGAAAGUCCCCGUGACUUGGUUGACGACGAGUUGUGAGUCACAUCGGAGGAUGACUCGCCGUGCUCCAUACUCGAGAGCUAGUUCUAGUCUUGCAAUCACGACUGUCACACCUCUUUUUUACUACACCUGUAAGGGUAUAAGGGAGUUUUUCCAAUUUAAGUGACAAUCGAAACGAGAUUAUUUUAUUUAAAAUUCAGAGUCGCCACUUGGGAUAAUUUAUGGUGUCCCAAGUAACCAGCUUUAAAUCCCGAAUCGAGGAAAGGUUGACUCUAUUUUACAGUCCACGAACACAGAAAUCCGGGUAAAGAAUUCUGUUAACCUGGGAGAAGGUGUUAGGCAUUCCCUGGUUCCGUGAUUUUAGCACGGUCGCUUAAACUAUUAAAUUGGCCUAUUAUCUGAUUUACUACAUGUUUUAAACAUAUUGUGCAUUUUUAAACCUUAGAACCGCUUUUAAUUAUUUUAACCCAUUUUUAGGGUUUAUGAAAUUAUUUCUUGAACAAGUUACGAUUGUCGUACACUUACCGUUUUGGAACACACCGCAAACCACGCUACAUGAAAUGCACCCAUGGUUUGCGACAUGUUUAUUUUUAUUAUUGUUCGAAGUUAUUAUGAUCGGGUCACAUGAAAUGCACACCCAAAUUGAGGAUUACGUAUCGUGACCAUGCCACGGGAACCAUACCCAUAGUCACGAUGAUUUAUUUACGCGCCUAAAGCAACUACGAUGAAUCAUUUCCUCACUAACAGUUCAAUUAUUCAAAAAUUGAAAGUAUAUUAAUAAUGCAAGAAAGUAAGAUUCUGAAAAGAUAUAAUACUACUACAAGACAAAAGAGUGAAUGGGGGUGAACAAAAAAGUAUGGCCACGUUACUGAUUUUGAUCACAUUUCUCAAGUCUCUUUAAUUCAAUAUUGGCCAAAAUGCCAUAGUAAAUAUACAACACUCAUUUUUAUUGUACAUAGGUCAAACAUACAUCCAUAGUUUUUGCUCAUUUUUAAACCUCACCAUAUAUUUCAUGAAUCAAAUUGGAAGUAAGAAACGUAGUAAACAUACAACUCUCAAGAGAUAAUUGAACAAACACAAACAAGAAUAAUCACACUUAUCCAAUGAAAAGAAAUACCCGAGUACCAUAAGUAUAACCCAUAAUCUUUUCUUUACAAAUAAACAUGACCCCAAAAAUAUCACAUGAAUCUUAGCUAGAAGAUAAUUAUGGCACGAAAAUCACAAAGGGAAAAAGGGGCAGUGAAGAAGCAAAGGAAGAAAUUUUCAGCAGGUUUACCGCAAAUAGAGCAAGGAAGAAUCAGACCUUUAUAGUGAUGAACAAAUAUGAAAAUCUACAGCUCAAUCAAACCAAACAGAGCAACAAUCGUCGGAAUAAAAGCCGAAGCUACGAACCGGAACCUCGAGACAGAAGCCUCGUCUUAUCUUCAAUGGAGCCUGGUUACUCAACCGGUUUUCGCUGGAAUGAAUGGGUGUUUUACAGUGAAGAAAGGGAAAGUUUUAGGUGGUUUUGAAGUGCUAACAAUGGUGUUUUGCGACUGAUUUUUGGAGGUGAGCAACGAUGGUGCUGGGAUGGUUUCAAAUUGCUCACAUGGCUAUUUUAGGAUGGAUGAAAAAUGGUAUUUGGUCUGCUAUUUCUCAGGUGCAAUAAAACAGAGGUUUCUUUUCCUACUCUUAGAUCGAAGUUCUUUCUAUCAAGGAAGAAGAAGAGCUCGCCUCUCUCCGUUGCUAUGUUCGUUCACUAUGUAUGAGAAGAAGAUGGAGUGUGGUUGCUAAUCCUUUUUCGAAUUGGGAUGAAGCUGCCCCUUUUUCUUUUGUUUGUUUUUUUAGUCCAGGUAUGUCGUUGAUGGUUCUUCCCCAGAUUUUCUCUCCUCUCUUUUCGUUUUUUUCCUUAAUCUCUGAUCCCGACAAUUUCUGCUUCUGCUAUAUUUUUUUUUGGUUUUGUGGGUGUGUAUUUCUCAAUCAUUGAGGGAAAUGAAGGGAAGUAUAGACAUUGUUUGUGGCUUGGAGAAAAGUGAAUUGCAAGUUCUGAUUUUUACCUCCUCUGUUUUUCGUCCCUUUCACAACCCCUAUUUCUCUCUAUCUUUGUUUUUUCGUCUCACUCUCUCUUUUCAGACCUCCCUCUCUUGUGUAUAUCUGUGUGUGCUUUUAUAUAGUAUUAUAUCUUGAUGAGAAAGUUAAUGGGUGGUCCCCAUGAAAAUGCCAAAAUUAAGAGUAUAACCAAAAGGAAUCAAAUUCUGUUAUGGAUGGAAGGAAGGCCCGUGAUUUUGAUAGAAGAUAUGGAUGAAAAUUAAUUUUGGAGUUGGGACCUACUGAAGAAUAAGAAAUUAAGGAAGGACAAAAAUAUGGGAGCCACGUAAAGGAGAUCUAAUUUUCGUUUCACCUUUUUUUCUUUCUUCUUGGAUUUUUUCCUUUGCUUUUUCACGUUUUUUUGCUUUCCGUUUUUCGUUUUGUUUUCUUCUUCUUUUUUCUAUUCUUUUGUUUGUUUUCAAUUUUAAUCUUUUGAAGAUGAAACAAAAUUUUUAGUUUAUUUAAACUAAUGGGAUAUUAAAAGAAAGAAAUAAAAUAAUUUUUAUUUUAAAAAAAAUCUAACUACUUAAGAUUUCAUUAGAGGCCUACAACUUUUAAACUAAACUAAGUAAAUAUGAAUAUAUUUUUUUGAACUUUUUCUUUUUCUUAUUUUUUUUGGAAAAUAAAAAUGCCAAAAUUAUUUUGUAUUUUUUCAAAAGUAAAAUUAACUAGACAAAAUAUCAACUAGUAGUUAAAAUAAGAGAAAAUAUUAUUGUAAUUUUUGUGAUAAAAUAAAGUAAAAGUGUCAAAAUUAGCUAAAAUAUCGAUAUUAGACCUAAACUAAAUAUUUAUAUGCUAAAAUAUGUAAAAUCUUGGGGAGGGUCAAAAAUCACAUGUCUACAGCUGCCCCUUUUUGACUGGAAAUACGAAGUAUUUUCAGACAAAGAUUGGCUAGACAGAUUUUUUGACCCGACCCUUAUUAAAGAGACCAAAAGCUAAAAGAGCAGAGACUGUGACGAGCCCUGGUAUCUGAGCUGCCUACAUAUCCUUGGCUAUAAAGGAAUCAGGCCACGUGUAGUUCAGAAGUGAGUGAGAUGAUGGAGUAUACCGAGGUGGAGAGCCGAUCGAGGUGUCAUUCCGUCGAGGUUCCAGUCCGCGGUACUGUUAUUACAUCAAAAUCAAAAAAUGAAAAAGACUAGCUAAGUCUGUCAACUAUGAGUUACAAGAUUCAUAUCUAUAAGUCUUCUGAAGCUUGGUCUUGAGUCUUGAAGGGCUCUUCAUGUGGACUUUAGAUUUGAAUCUUGACGCUUGCUAGCUGCAGGUGCUAGUUCAUUCUUCUUCGGAUCAAGACCGGACAUGCAAUGCUCGUGAUUUCAACCAUGUCUUGAGCAGUUCACAUCUUUCUCUACUUCUGCAUUUGGAUUCACUUCCCUCAUUUUCUUUUCUUUCUUGUUUCUUGGAUUGAAACUUCUUCUUUGGUCAUCUCAAACUAUUGACUCGCAUUCUUGCCGCGAGCUUCUGCUACUUUAAAUUUAGAUUAAACUCUGAAAUUAUGACGACCCGGUCGGUUGUCUUAUGAGUUACCACUCCAUUUUCCCUAUUUUAGCUUUUUUAUGCUUCGUUAUCUAUGUUUUUGUGGUAUUGGGUUGGUCGGAUCAAGUCAGGAAUGAGUUUGGUGAAGUUUGAGACGCUUAGUCUCUUUUAAAAAGGCUUAAGUUGGAAAAGUCAACCGGAUCUUGACUUAUGUGUUAGAAGGCUCGGAAGUCAGUUCUGAUGGUUCGGUUAGCUUCGGGAGGUAAUUUGUAACUUAGGAGUGUGAUCGGAAUGAGUUUUGGAGGUUCGGAGUAGAAUUAGGCUUGAAUUGGCGAAGUUAAUAGUUUGGCAAUUUCCGGUUGUUAUGCGAGAUUUUGAUAUAGGAGUCAGAAUGGAAUUUUAAGAGUUGCAGUAGCUUCGUCGUGUUCAUUUGGGAUGUGUGUGUAAAAUCUUAGGUCAUUCGGACGCGGUCUGGUAGGGUUUUUGAUCAAAAGCGUAUUUCAGAAGAUUUUUGAAACUUAGGCUUGAAUCCGAUGUGAUUUGGGAGAUUUGAUAUUGUUUGAGGUGUUUUGAUGAUUGGGACAAGUUUGAAUAAGGUAUUCGGUUAUGUGUGUGCUUUUGGUUGAGCACCCGGGGGGCCUCGGGGUGAUUUCGGAUGGUUAACGAGAAGAUUUGAAACUUGGGAGAUUGCAGAAAAUUUGCUGCUUCUAGUGUAUUCGCACCUGCGGUUUGGGGCCUGUAGGUGCGGCGCCGCAGAUGCGAGGGAGAAGCCACAAAAGCGCUUUUGGAGGGGAUUGUCAGGAAACCGCAAAUGCAGUUGUGGUGGCUGCAUCUGCGGAACCACAAAUGCGGAAGAAGGAUCGCAGAUGCGGUAGUGACCGGCUUUAGUGAUUUUCGUAGAAACGGAGUGUUAACCAUAAAUGCGGUACCGCAGAAGCAGAUUUUGGACCGCAGAUGCGGGUAUGUCUGGACAGAACAUAUAAGUUAGACCAUUUCGCGAAAUUGGGUUAUUUCACCAUUUUUGGACCUCGACUUGGGAACUUUUGGACGAUUUUGAAGGGAGAUUUCAAGGGAACUUCGUUAAGGUAAGGAUUUUAGACCUAAAACACACUUCUAUGGUAAUAUUUCAUGGAUUAAGACUGAAAUUAAAGAAAUUAAAAGGUUAAAAAUGGAGGGUUAGGGCUUGAGUCUAAGAGGGCUUUAAAUGUGGAUUUGAGGGGUCAUUUGGACUCCGAUUUUGAUGUUGUUGAUAUGUAUGAACUCGUGGGGAGAUAUGGAACCCGUUGUUGUGAAAAUUUCUGAAUUUCGAGAAGUGGGUCCGGAGCUCGGGUUUUGGCUAAUUUUGAGAUUUUUGAUAUUUUUCGCUUGUUUUCGCUUGGGUUUUGUUCCCUUAGCAUAUUGUAAUGUAUUCGUUCUGAUUUUAGAUAGAUUCGAUGUACGUGGAGGCCGAUUAGAGGGGCAAAGGCGUCGUGAGUUUGAGAUUUAGCCGGUUCGAGGUGAUUAAUGAUUGUAAAUGAUGCUCUNNNNNNNNNNNNNNNNNNNNGAUUGAUGAUUUUACCGUAUAUUUGACUGAAACUUAUUUGCUAUCAUCAUGAUUUGGGCUGAUUGCUAUGUUUGGGCUUCGUGCCAACUAUUUGAACCCCGGGGUUUUUAUUACUAUUUCCUCACUAUUUUUGACUUAUUACUUGAACUCAGUCAUGUUAUUUUCCACUGUUUUACUACUCAGCCAUUUUUACUCAGUUUUGAAACUUAAAUGAUAUUUUUAAAUGAUGUUUUGGGCUGAGAAAUACUGUUUUACUAUUGCCCAAGGGGCUUGUGAUGAUUUUUGGACUGAGUAAGGCUGAUGGCCUAGUUGUGAGGAUACACUGAUACUGAUGUGAGGCCGAGGGCCUGAGAUGCAUAUAUACGCCAUGAGGUGGCUUGAUUUAUAUUAUGCCGAGGGUCUAGAUUUGAUGCCACGAGAUGACUUGAUAUUGCGCUUGGGCCGUAAAGGGCCCCUCCCGGAGUCUGUACACCCCCAGUGAGUGAGGAUACCCAUUGUGAUGUGAGAUAGAGCCCGAGGGGCUGAUAUUGUUCUGAGAUUGAGCCCGAGGGGCUGGUACUAUUCUGAGAUGUUGCCCGAGGGGCUUAUUUGUUGAUACUGUGCCUGAGGGGCGAACUUCUAUUUGUUUACUUACCUGUCAAUUACUUGUUUUACUUGUUGAAAAGGGAUUUACUCGACUCUUCACUGUUUUACUGUUUUAAGUGAUUUUUACUGCUUCAGUAUAGAAUGCCUUGUGUUUUACGUGUUUUCUUACUUUCAGUCGUUAUUUACAUUUGUUACUCAUUGAGUUGGAGUACUCACUUUACUCCCUGCACCCUGUAUGCAGAUUCAGGCGUAGCUGGUACCGCUCCUGAGUGUUGAUUCCUCUAGUUUCAGGCGGUUUUCGGAGACUACGAAGUAGCUGUUGACGUCCGCAGCCCCGUGUCUCUACUUCUCUAUCAUUUCUAUUUCCUUUCAAACACUUGUAGUAUUUUAUGACUUUAGAAGACUAGUAUUAUGGUUAGAUGCUCGUGACUUGUGACACCCCGGUUAGGGCUGUGUCGGGUUGGACUUUCUGUAUUGUUAUCGAUAUUUCCGCUAUUCAGUAUUGUUUAAAUCAUGUUUAGACUUUUUUAUGUUGAUUAACUGCUUUAAAAGUUGAGUUGGGUUGAACUGGCUGGCCUUGUCUUCACGAGAGGCGCCA
rnacentral:lncRNA from 1 species